UCUGGAAACUGUCUGACUNGAGUGUAGAAGGGGAGAGUGGAAUUCCAUGUGUAGCGGUGAAAUGCGUAGAUAUAUGGAGGAACACCAGUGGCGAAAGCGGCUCUCUGNUCUGUCACUGACGCUGAGGCUCGAAAGCGUGGGUAGCGAACAGGAUUAGAUACCCUGGUAGUCCACGCCGUAAACGAUGAGUGCUAGGUGUUAGGCCCUUUCCGGGGCUUAGUGCCGGAGCUAACGCAAUAAGCACUCCGCCUGGGGAGUACGACCGCAAGGUUGAAACUCAAAGGAAUUGACGGGGGCCCGCACAAGCGGUGGAGCAUGUGGUUUAAUUCGAAGCAACGCGAAGAACCUUACCAGGUCUUGACAUCCCGAUGCUAUUCUUAGAGAUAGGAAGUUACUUCGGUACAUCGGAGACAGGUGGUGCAUGGUUGUCGUCAGCUCGUGUCGUGAGAUGUUGGGUUAAGUCCCGCAACGAGCGCAACCCUUAUUGUUAGUUGCCAUCAUUAAGUUGGGCACUCUAGCGAGACUGCCGGUAAUAAACCGGAGGAAGGUGGGGAUGACGUCAAAUCAUCAUGCCCCUUAUGACCUGGGCUACACACGUGCUACAAUGGUCGGUACAACGAGUUGCGAGCCGGUGGCGGCAAGCUAAUCUCUGAAAGCCGAUCUCAGUUCGGAUUGGAGGCUGCAACUCGCCUCCAUGAAGUCGGAAUCGCUAGUAAUCGCGGAUCAGCACGCCGCGGUGAAUACGUUCCCGGGCCUUGUACNC
rnacentral:rRNA from 1 species